rnacentral:lncRNA from 1 species
UUUUCUGGUUUAAGAUUCUUCCUUUGUAGAGUUUUCUCUGCGUGGUUCAAUCUUUAGAGCUAGUUGUGCCCAAUACAUCUUGCACAGAAGAGGGAUUCUCAUCAGUUGUGAGCAGUGCAGUUAUCUUCUGGAUUUGGACAUGAAUCAGAAUGUAAUUGCUUUAAAUUGGUUUGAAGAAUGGUAAGAUCCCCUUUCUGCACCCAAAAAAACCAGGUAAAUAUUACAAAUUAGUCCACAACUGUGAAAGAAAGCUGAGUAGGAUAUUCUGCACAAGGUGGACUGACAAUAAGUACUGAACUAAGAAGACUUCAGGGGAGAGAAGAAAGACAAGAUGUAUACUCAACAGCUGAAAAUAUACCUAAGAGCCUAAAGAAAGGUGAUGCGUUUUGUGGGACAGCUGCAGAAAUGGGACUUUCUGAUCAUGGGAGACGGUUGUUAUUGUGGAACUCAUUCCGAUCAACCGCUGGAGUUUAGUAACCUGUGAGAACCGAGACAGCUUUUGUGUCUUCUGAGAAGCCUACCAAAAAAGUGUUAUGUUGGGCGGGUGGCAGCGCUGCAGGAUUUUGAUCAAAUCCACAUCUCUUGCUGGCUUUCUUAACAUAUGUUACAUUUUAUGUAAUGCAAACCAAGACAGCUUUACGAAACAGAUCAGUUCAGUCCAUCUUCAUAGAUGGAUGCCUUCAGCAGUGUUUGAAUUCAUGACUUAUUUAUUUUUUACUUAUUUUUCAGGGCAGAUUUGAGUAUUAUUGGUGUUAAUUCUGAAUUUCUAAAACCGGUGAUUUGCUAGUGCUGUUCUGUAAUGCCCUACAUUGCCUGUCUUUGCUUAGAAUUUCAUAUCUGAUAUUUUUAAUGUUAAGGUCAAUGUUAUUGAUCCUGUGGAUCUGUUCUUCUGCUGUAUUUUUUCAAGGCACACACACAGAGGGUAACUAAUCUUAAUAUCGUGUGUUUGCAACUCUGUUUAGCAUGAAAUCAGUAACUGACAUAUUAAUUAUAAUAAUCUGUUAAAUAUACUUUACCUACAUGUUAAUUAUAGCAGACCAUUCUCAUUUAUUUCUCUGGGUAGGCUAUUAAUUCAACCCAGAUGGUACAGCUUUUUGAGACUGCAACACUCAGUGUGAACGGAAUAAAUCAUGUUGCCAAGAUACAGGAGCAAAAAUGUUAUCACAUCUGAAUAGGCUUUAAAAUGAUAUAACUAUGAAAAAAUCUUACCUUUUAAUCAGGGAAGAGGCUUAGUUAGAGCAAGGUCAGUAGCCCAGGCCUGUUCUGUAAGGCAGGAAGCACAACCUGGAAGUACAGGAAUUUGUUAUGUGCCAGAUUAUCAGCCAUUUUGGGAUACCUUUCUUUCCUGCCAUAAGUAUGUAACCUGAAGGACACAAUGCAGAAUAACUCUGCCCCUCUAUUAAAACAUAAGAUCAGUUCCUCCUUAUCCCACCUUUCCCCUGUUAGUGUGCUCAAUAGGCAGUUCUCUGCUGGCUAUAAUGAGCAGGAUUUUUGCUUUGUGAAACGCAUUUUAGGUGAAACACUGCUUGAAUAUCUCAUUUAUUCUAAGCCUGCCCUCCUACACACUCAGGCACAGUUCUGCCAGGUUUACUUGUAGUUUAUCUGUCGAUUUUUUUCAUUUUUAUAAAUUCUAAUUGGAUGUAUUAGAGUGGCAUAAGCUGGAUCGCAUUUGUGUAUUUCAAAAUCCCCGGUUUUAUCUUGAUGAAUGAAUCAAGACAAAUCAAAAAAAAAAAAAAAAAAAGAUUGUCACCUUUAUCUUCUUUUUUACCAUCUAGAAUAAAGUUUCU